rnacentral:rRNA from 1 species
GACGAACGCUUGCGGCGUGCUUAACACAUGCAAGUCGAACGGAAAGGCCCUGCUUUUGUGGGGUGCUCGAGUGGCGAACGGGUGAGUAACACGUGAGUAACCUGCCCUUGACUUUGGGAUAACUUCAGGAAACUGGGGCUAAUACCGGAUAGGAGCUCCUGCUGCAUGGUGGGGGUUGGAAAGUUUCGGCGGUUGGGGAUGGACUCGCGGCUUAUCAGCUUGUUGGUGGGGUAGUGGCUUACCAAGGCUUUGACGGGUUGCCGGCCUGAGAGGGUGACCGGCCACAUUGGGACUGAGAUACGGCCCAGACUCCUACGGGAGGCAGCAGUGGGGAAUAUUGCACAAUGGGCGGAAGCCUGAUGCAGCAACGCCGCGUGCGGGAUGACGGCCUUCGGGUUGUAAACCGCUUUCGCCUGUGACGAAGCGUGAGUGACGGUAAUGGGUAAAGAAGCACCGGCUAACUACGUGCCAGCAGCCGCGGUGAUACGUAGGGUGCGAGCGUUGUCCGGAUUUAUUGGGCGUAAAGGGUUCGUAGGUGGUUGAUCGCGUCGGAAGUGUAAUCUUGGGGCUUAACCCUGAGCGUGCUUUCGAUACGGGUUGACUUGAGGAAGGUAGGGGAGAAUGGAAUUCCUGGUGGAGCGGUGGAAUGCGCAGAUAUCAGGAGGAACACCAGUGGCGAAGGCGGUUCUCUGGGCCUUUCCUGACGCUGAGGAGCGAAAGCGUGGGGAGCGAACAGGCUUAGAUACCCUGGUAGUCCACGCUGUAAACGGUGGGUACUAGGUGUGGGGUCCAUUCCACGGGUUCCGUGCCGUAGCUAACGCUUUAAGUACCCCGCCUGGGGAGUACGGCCGCAAGGCUAAAACUCAAAGGAAUUGACGGGGCCCCGCACAAGCGGCGGAGCAUGCGGAUUAAUUCGAUGCAACGCGUAGAACCUUACCUGGGUUUGACAUGGAUCGGGAGUGCUCAGAGAUGGGUGUGCCUCUUUUGGGGUCGGUUCACAGGUGGUGCAUGGCUGUCGUCAGCUCGUGUCGUGAGAUGUUGGGUUAAGUCCCGCAACGAGCGCAACCCUUGUUCACUGUUGCCAGCACGUUAUGGUGGGGACUCAGUGGAGACCGCCGGGGUCAACUCGGAGGAAGGUGGGGAUGACGUCAAGUCAUCAUGCCCCUUAUGUCCAGGGCUUCACGCAUGCUACAAUGGCUGGUACAGAGAGUGGCGAGCCUGUGAGGGUGAGCGAAUCUCGGAAAGCCGGUCUCAGUUCGGAUUGGGGUCUGCAACUCGACCUCAUGAAGUCGGAGUCGCUAGUAAUCGCAGAUCAGCAACGCUGCGGUGAAUACGUUCCCGGGGCU